rnacentral:lncRNA from 1 species
GUUUCAGCCUGUGCUCUGGAACAGGAAAUCCUUUUACAGACAGUGACCCUUCAGACACUGGAUGAAGAAUCUUCAUACGCAUGGGUUCAGCCCCCAGGGGUCCAGUUCAAGAGCAAAGGACCUGAGCCCCAACCAUCAGAGGAAGGAGUUGUGGUCUGUUGCUUCAGGCGGUGGUGUGAGGACUGACCACGUGACUUUGGACGAGAAGCAGGAACUUUGUGAAGAGGCAGAGCCGUGUGGGAAGGGGUCCGAUGGACAGGAUGGAACCUCCUCCCAGCACGCCAAAUACCCGGGGCACAGGGAGCCGAGUGCAGGUUUGGAAAUGCAGGAUGAGGGUGCCCCGGGUAGAAAGGUCUGUCCCUGUGAAGAAUGCAGGAAAACCUUCCCCUGGGCAGGAGGCCCUCACGUGCACAGGAGGCCCAGCGCCGGGGAAAACCGCACUCGCGCACAGAAUGCGGAAAGGCCUUCAUCAGACGCGCAGAACUUAGCCAGCACCCGGGGCUUCGCGGCAAGGAGAAGCCUGAUCACUGUCUAGAGUGUGGCAAAGGUUUCAGGCAGAAGGCGGGCCUCUUCCAACAUCUGAGUCCAUACUGCAGAAAGGCCGUAUGGAUGUAGGAAAUGUGGUCGGUGUUUUAGUCGGAGAUCGGUUCUUACAUAGCAUCAAAGCGUCCACCCCGGAG